rnacentral:miRNA from 1 species
AAACCAAAGUCAGCCUCCCGCCACUAUGCCUGUCUGUCCCCGUGACUGAGUAUAAUCCAGUGGAGGCUCAGAGUGAC